AUGAAGUUCAACUUUUAUAAGUCAACUGCAUUUCAAUUCUGGUGGUUAAUUACUGGAUUAAGAAAGAGUUUUGAAUUUGGAGGGAAUAUAUGAGUUAUAACUGUCAAAUUUGAUAGUACAGAGCAGAGUUAUUCACCGGAAAACUUUUAUUUAAACAAAAAACCCUCACGGAAAACUCAUGAACAAACAAUCUCUACAACCUCUACGGUUUAGAUCACAACACGACGAUUUGAUACAGAAACCAACAAGAUCUAACAAGUUCUUAAACACAAAUAACCCUAGAUCUCUGGUUACAUUCCAGAGAGAUCGAGACCUAAGAUAGAAAGAGAAAUAAAUUGUCUGGCCUGGUUCUUGGUUCUUCUUCUGGAAACGACGGAUGAUGGUGGUGGUUCGGUGGCCAUUGAUUUGAAGGCUUGUCAAUAAGUUUGUCAUCAAGCACACUUAUAUAACGACCCGAAGAAAUCCGGAUCAGCUGCUCUGCAACAACAAGCCCAGCCCAUCAUACUUUAUCUUUAGCAAGCCAGCCCAUCAGCUCCUUUGUCUUUAAUCAGCAAGCCCAACUCUCAUUCAGCCCAAUCUAACAUGCAACAAGUAAAACAAACCAAAACAAAUCAUUAAAAACCUAAUACAUACCAGUUUAUAUCUGAUUAACAAUUUUAUAUCUGAUUAACAAUUUUGGUAAUGCACCUGGACAGUUGUUU
rnacentral:lncRNA from 1 species